GCGGUAUGCUUAACACAUGCAAGUCGAACGGAUGUUUUCGGACAUUAGUGGCGGACGGGUGAGUAACGCGUGAGAAUCUGCCUAUAGGUUGGGGACAACAGAUGGAAACGUCUGCUAAUACCCGAUGUGCCGAGAGGUAAAAGCUUUAGUGCCUGUAGAUGAGCUCGCGUCCGAUUAGCUAGUUGGUUGGGUAAAGGCUGACCAAGGCGACGAUCGGUAGCUGGUCUGAGAGGAUGAUCAGCCACACUGGGACUGAGACACGGCCCAGACUCCUACGGGAGGCAGCAGUGGGGAAUUUUCCGCAAUGGGCGAAAGCCUGACGGAGCAAUACCGCGUGCGGGACGAAGGCUUUUGGGUCGUAAACCGCUUUUGUUAGGGAAGAAGAACUGACGGUACCUAACGAAUCAGCAUCGGCUAACUCCGUGCCAGCAGCCGCGGUAAUACGGGGGAUGCAAGCGUUAUCCGGAAUUAUUGGGCGUAAAGCGUCCACAGGUGGUUUAUCAAGUCUGCUGUCAAAGCGUGGGGCUUAACCCCAUAAAGGCAGUGGAAACUGAGAGACUAGAGUACGGUAGGGGUAGCGGGAAUUCCCAGUGUAGCGGUGAAAUGCGUAGAUAUUGGGAAGAACACCAGCGGCGAAGGCGCGCUACUGGGCCGAAACUGACACUCAUGGACGAAAGCUGGGGGAGCGAAAGGGAUUAGAUACCCCUGUAGUCCUAGCUGUAA
rnacentral:rRNA from 1 species